rnacentral:rRNA from 1 species
AACGACGCUGGCGGCAGGCCUAACACAUGCAAGUCGAGCGCCCCGCAAGGGGAGCGGCGGACGGGUGAGUAACGCGUGGGAACGUACCCUUUGCUACGGAAUAGCCUCGGGAAACUGGGAGUAAUACCGUAUGUGCCCUUCGGGGGAAAGAUUUAUCGGCAAAGGAUCGGCCCGCGUUGGAUUAGGUAGUUGGUGGGGUAAUGGCCUACCAAGCCGACGAUCCAUAGCUGGUUUGAGAGGAUGAUCAGCCACACUGGGACUGAGACACGGCCCAGACUCCUACGGGAGGCAGCAGUGGGGAAUCUUAGACAAUGGGCGCAAGCCUGAUCUAGCCAUGCCGCGUGAGCGAUGAAGGCCUUAGGGUUGUAAAGCUCUUUCAGUGGGGAAGAUAAUGACUGUACCCACAGAAGAAGCCCCGGCUAACUCCGUG